rnacentral:lncRNA from 1 species
AAGUAAAGACUAUCAAGUUAAACUGUCAGCUCUUUAUGCAAAAAUAACUUUAGCCUUCUUUGUAAUUCCUCCAAAGAUUAACAUUGUGCCACCGUGAGCAUCCUACCUACGCUGAUCAGCUGGGUUUUACCUACCCACCUCCCCAGGAAGACAUGAAAAGGAAGAAUAUACAAAAGACAACAUCAGAAUGAUGCUCCAGUUUUCUGGCAUCUACAUUUAUACAAAGACAUGGAGAUUUUUUUUCAAAGGGAUACAGACCAUGAAAUCCCACCAACAUACCUGUAAGAAUUACUUCUGUGAAAUCAGAUGUGGCCAUAUGUGCAUCAGAGCCCUCAGCUAAGUCUGUGGUAAGAGACCAGAUGAAGGAACAUUCUACAAGAAGGAGGUCCUUGAAGAUCAGGGAUAAGGCCCAG